rnacentral:rRNA from 1 species
UGGGGAAUUUUGGACAAUGGGCGCAAGCCUGAUCCAGCCAUGCCGCGUGCGGGAAGAAGGCCUUCGGGUUGUAAACCGCUUUUGUCAGGGAAGAAAUCUUCUGAGUUAAUACCUCGGGAGGAUGACGGUACCUGAAGAAUAAGCACCGGCUAACUACGUGCCAGCAGCCGCGGUAAUACGUAGGGUGCAAGCGUUAAUCGGAAUUACUGGGCGUAAAGCGUGCGCAGGCGGUUUUGUAAGACAGAGGUGAAAUCCCCGGGCUCAACCUGGGAACUGCCUUUGUGACUGCAAGGCUUGAGUGCGGCAGAGGGGGGAUGGAAUUCCGCGUGUAGCAGUGAAAUGCGUAGAUAUGCGGAGGAACACCGAUGGCGAAGGCAAUCCCCUGGGCCUGCACUGACGCUCAUGCACGAAAGCGUGGGGAGCAAACAGGAUUAGAUACCCUGGUAGUCCACGCCCUAAACGAUGUCAACUGGUUGUUGGGAAGGUUCCUUCUCAGUAACGUAGCUAACGCGUGAAGUUGACCGCCUGGGGAGUACGGCCGCAAGGUUGAAACUCAAAUGAAUUGAC